rnacentral:rRNA from 1 species
UACGUAGGGUGCGAGCGUUGUCCGGAAUUAUUGGGCGUAAAGAGCUCGUAGGCGGUUUGUUGCGUCGGCUGUGAAAUCCCGAGGCUCAACCUCGGGUCUGCAGUCGAUACGAGCAAACUAGAGUGUUGCAGGGGAGACUGGAAUUCCUGGUGUAGCGGUGAAAUGCGCAGAUAUCAGGAGGAACACCUAUUGCGAAGGCAGCUCGCUGGGACGUAACUGACGCUGAGACGCGAAAGCGUGGGGAGCAAACAGG